GAUGAAGAACGUAGCGAAAUGCGAUAAGUAGUGUGAAUUGCAGAAUUCAGUGAAUCAUCGAGUCUUUGAACGCACAUUGCGCCCCAUGGUAUUCCGUGGGGCAUGCCUGUUCGAGCGUCAUUUACCCCCUCAAGCUCCGCUUGGUGUUGGGCGUCUGUCCCGCUUCGCGCGCGGACUCGCCCCAAAGGUAUUGGCAGCGGUCGUGCCAGCUUCUCGCGCAGCACAUUGCGCUUCUCGAGGCACCGGUGGGCCCGCGUCCAUCAAGCUCACCCCCCCAGUUUGACCUCGGAUCAGGUAGGGAUACCCGCUGAACUUAAGCAUAUCAAUAAGCGGAGG
rnacentral:misc_RNA from 1 species